GUGGGGAAUAUUGGACAAUGGGGGGAACCCUGAUCCAGCCAUGCCGCGUGUGUGAAGAAGGCCUUUUGGUUGUAAAGCACUUUAAGCGAGGAGGAGGCUACCGAGAUUAAUACUCUUGGAUAGUGGACGUUACUCGCAGAAUAAGCACCGGCUAACUCUGUGCCAGCAGCCGCGGUAAUACAGAGGGUGCAAGCGUUAAUCGGAUUUACUGGGCGUAAAGCGCGCGUAGGUGGCCAAUUAAGUCAAAUGUGAAAUCCCCGGGCUUGACUUGGGAAGUGCAUUCGAUACUUGUUGGCUAGAGUAUGGGAGAGGAUGGUAGAAUUCCAGGUGUAGCAGUGAAAUGCGUAGAGAACUGGAGGAAUACCGAUGGCGAAGGCAGCCAUCUGGCCUAAUACUGACACUGAGGUGCGAAAGCAUGGGGAGCAAACAGGAUUAGAAACCCGAGUAGUCC
rnacentral:rRNA from 1 species